rnacentral:lncRNA from 1 species
AUUGCCGUGAAGUGAUUGUGCUGUGAUGGUGAAGUUGUUUACCAUAUGAACAGUGAAUUGGCUUAAGUCAAUUGAAGUGUAGCAUCCAUUUACACUUCCAACAAUCCAGUUCUGCAGUUGGCNGUACUGCACUAGACUAGUUGAGUCUGGUUUCCUAAAUUCUUUGCUGUUUUAAUUCUGUCCAACUUUCAAUACUCACUGUAUUUCCUA